CAAGAAUUAGUUUAAAGAAAAUUAUUCAUUUACAUUGAAUAGAAUAUUGUGCAUUACAUAAUUUUUGA
rnacentral:tRNA from 1 species